AUGCGGAGGGUGCAAGCGUUGUUCGGAAUCACUGGGCGUAAAGGGCGCGCAGGCGGUUUGGUAAGUCAGAUGUGAAAGCCCACGGCUCAACCGUGGAAGUGCAUUUGAAACUGCCAGACUUGAGUACCAGAGGGGAAAGUGGAAUUCCCGGUGUAGAGGUGAAAUUCGUAGAUAUCGGGAGGAAUACCGGUGGCGAAGGCGACUUUCUGGCUGGAUACUGACGCUGAGGCGCGAAAGCGUGGGGAGCAAACAGGAUUAGAAACCCCAGUAGUAC
rnacentral:rRNA from 1 species